rnacentral:rRNA from 1 species
CCCUUAGAUGUUCUGGGCCGCACGCGCGCUACACUGAUUCAUGCAACAAGUUUUGUCCUUGGCUGAUAGGCCUGGGUAAUCUUUGAACGUGAAUCGUGAUGGGGAUAGAUGAUUGCAAUUAUUCAUCUUCAACGAGGAAUUCCUAGUAAACGCAAGUCAUCAGCUUGCAUUGAUUACGUCCCUGCCCUUUGUACACACCGCCCGUCGCACCUACCGAUUGAAUGGUCCGGUGAAAUCUUCGGAUCUGAGAGAUGUCUGAUUAAUUUCGGACGCCUUUUGGAAAAGUUGUUUAAACCUUACCAUUUAGAGGAAGGUGAAGCCGUAACA